CCUUCCCAUUUUAAAAGACGAAAUUUUAGUUUAAGUUUAUAUAUUUUAUUUGUUAAGAAUGGCCAAUGAAAAAAUCUCUCCGUCGGUUUUGGAGGCCUUCCGUCGAUUUUGGAGACUUCCACAUUUUAAAUAGCUCCAGUUUUAGGUUCUUUUUGUUGUUAUUUUUACUUGGUGGAACACAUUUCUUAUAAUAUUUUAAGUUUGUUAGACUUUUCAAACAAAGCUGAAAUUUAGUUGGAAUUUAAGUAUUUGAAUAGUUUCUUUUCUUUUCGGUCUCUGUUACUAUUAUUACUGUUGGUUGCUGCUCUUUCUUAUCUUGUUGUUGACUUUCUUUUUCACUUUUGAAUUAUGUUAUGUUUAUUCCAUUUUUGUUUAAUAACUUGUGAUUGUUUACAUAAUCAUGGUUACGUUUUGUUCAUGAUAGUUGCAAGCUCUCUGUUUUAUUGUUUUUUUUUCCUAUAGUUUGAUUUAUUUAUUUUUGUUUGUUGUUCAAUUCAUGUGAAAGAAUAUACAUGUAGAGGGUCAGUUGUUAAUUAAUUGAUAUUGAUUUUAUAUAUUUUUUUUAAUGUGGGACACACCUUUUAGCUAAAUGCCAUGAUUUCUUUUGUUUUGGUUGCUUGUGUCAUUGAUAUUAUUUCUUAUUUAGAUUGGUAUAGGUAUGGCUACGGUAUGUUCACCACUUCACUUUAUUAUUGUUGUUUUAUUUUUCAGUUGUAAUUGUUGACUUUAUGUUUACUACUUUAUCAAUUGUUUCUUCCUAUUUUGAUUAGCUAGUUUUAUGUUCAUGUUAUAUUGCUUUGAUAUUUUAUUUUUAUUUGCCAUCUUAUUUAUGUUAUUAUGUUUAUUUGAGCAUUUAAUUUAAUGGCCAAUGAAAAAAUCUCUCCGUCGAUUUUGGAGGCCUCCACAUUUUAAAAGACGAAAAUUUAGUUUAAAUUUAUAUGAGUUUUAUGUUAAAAUUGGCCGAUGAAGAAAUUACCGUUGAUUUCCAAGGCCUCCCAUGUUAAUAAGACGGGUUUUUAUCUUUUAAGUUAUUGUGUAAUUCACUUAUUUUUAUUCAUAUUUAUUUAUUACUAACACUUUUACUAAGUGUCUUUACAGGUACCCGGAGCUGCUUCCCAUUGAAGCUAUUCGAACAAAGUUCGAACAAUAUUUUGAUUCAUUAUCGUAUAUUAUUGACGAUAGAAAAAUCUAGGUUGUUUCUUAUAAUAUUUUAUUUUAUUACUUGUGUAUCUUGUAUGUUUGUUUUAUUUGUAUAUUAUUUUUAUUUCCUCCUCAAUUUGAAAAAAAUAAACUCAGUCGGAACCCACAUUUGUGGAUUUUGAAGGAUGCCUAACACCUUUCCUUCGGAAUAAUUUGAACCCCUUAUCUAGAAUCUUGGUUCCGUAGAUCACUUAAUGGUUUUCCUAGUUUUUUCCUAAAAUUAGGUGGCGACUCCUUUAAAAUUUGUUUAUUCUUAAAAUUCUUUUAAAAUUGAAUCAAUUGAUUAUUUUUUGAGUCACCGCGACGUUUCGCCCUUUUUGAAUAGAGUAGGGAUGUAAACA
rnacentral:lncRNA from 1 species